UUUGUUUCCUUUUUUUGUAUCGUUGUAUAACAGGAAAAUUUUUUCCUCCCGAAAAAUUGUACCAUUACACAUAAUGGAGGAAUGUAACGUUUAAUGGAGAUGUUUUCGUUUGGACUCGUGAAAAGAUUGCGCGACAGAGAAUUUGAAUCUUUGUAUACAGAAUAUAUGUAUUGUAGGUCACGAGAUAGAAACACACAUCACUAGUGGGCGACAUCAAAAAUAUAUGGGAUUUCAUACAUUUAUAACAAAAGUUUGUAGUAAUCUUGAAGCGGAGAUCUAAUGUUCCUUGCAUCUGUUUCUUAUACAGUAUUUAUGUUUAAACUGAGCGGGAAAUGGAGAAGUGUCGACAGCUCUAACAUUCUCGUCUCGUUUGACAGCUAACAUGUCAAAAGUCAAAUGGAGAACAUAACGAUCAAAAAUACGAGCACAAAUUUCAAGAUUCCAUCAUCUCCCGGUCAGAAUCGAGGAAUGGUAUCUGUUGAGUACUUAAGACCGUCCAUUCACAUGACCCGAUCCACCUGGAAACAAGGAAGGAAACCAAUCGGGUAACAACAAGAGAGAAUCAGACCAAUCUGAGAAGGAAAUUCGGGGAUGAAAUCCCGUAAAUACCCCGAAUUUCAAGGAUGGAAAGCCGACUUUUAUCUUUUUGUAUCGUCAAAAGACCCGCGCACUCUUCUUGUCUUUUGCCAUGGCCCCGAACGAAGUUCCGUCGUUCCUGCCUGUGCUUCGUCGUGCUCCUCCGUCUGCUGGAUUAUCCACGACACCAUCCCGGAGCCCCAACGAGAUUCUUAUCGCUGCAAAUUUGCAUCCGUGGACUCUAUUGAUCUUGAAAAACAGGAGAAACACCUUGUAAGCUCUUUUCAUAUAAAAUAAACGAAUUUCAUUUGUAAA